GAUGAACGCUGGCGGCGUGCCUAAUACAUGCAAGUCGAGCGAACAGACGAGGAGCUUUCUCCUCUGACAUUAGCGGCGGAAGGGUGAGUAACACUUGGAUAACCUACCUAUAAGACUGGGAUAACUUCGGGAAACCGGAGCUAAUACCGGAUAAUAUAUUGAACCGCAUGGUUCAAUAGUGAAAGACGGUUUUGCUGUCACUUAUAGAUGGAUCCGCGCCGCAUUAGCUAGUUGGUAAGGUAACGGCGUACCAAGGCAACGAUGCGUAGCCAACCUGAGAGGGUGAUCCGCCACACUGGAACUGAGACACGGUCCAGACUCCUACGGGAGGCAGCAGUAGGGAAUCUUACGCAAUGGGCGAAAGCCUGACGGAGCAACGCCGCGUGAGUGAUGAAGGUCUUCGGAUCGUAAAACUAUGUUAUUAGGGAAGAACAAAUGUGUAAGUAACUAUGCACGUCUUGACGGUACCUAAUCAGAAAGCCACGGCUAACUACGUG
rnacentral:rRNA from 1 species